GCUGCUGCAGUAUUUCCUAAGUUAUGGUCCCAGAAGGGAUGGAGUUCUCCACUGAGCUGUUGCUUACCAGAGCUAACUCCUCUGUCAUGUGAAAAGGCAGCCAAAAUUUAAUUAGGAUAUAAAACAUGGCCUGAAGAGCUUGCACGAGUGGAGGGAACUCCAUGUGAAGGACAGGGAACCAGCUGCGGGGGAUUCCCAGCUGCUCUGGUGCUGAGCCUGGUGGCUUUUGCCUUCAAGUUGGUUUUGCUGCUCUGCCAAGGACUGAUGAAGGCAACGUCUCUUGAAGCAUUGCAGGAGGACAGAGCUGCUCAUGGAUGGUUCACACAAGGUAUUUUCAAGAAAUGGUCAUGCAGAUCCAACAGAGGAAAUUUCUGCCAGCUGAUAAUUACUGGACCCCACCUGCACGUGGCUGAAAGUCCCAGUUUUCAGUAUUUACUGCUCACCUCAAUGGAACUGUUGCAGCAAGACCUUCACAUUCCUUCAGGAGCUUUCUUUAAGUCUCCGUGUCUGGCUGGUCUGUCUUCAGAGCCUCUGCAAACAAGUAUCAAUCAGAAAAUGCUUUUGGAGAUGAUCUUGGAUAAGUCUUUUCCCAGCAACUAACAGACUCAAUGGCUCAGUCUGCAAUACCAAAGUGAGGCUUUGCUGCUGGAGGUUGUGAUGUUUAGGAAGAUCACCUUCUGAAAAUGCUUAUUCUUUUGCCUCUUAGUCCACCCCUCUCAGGAAAGAAGAUUGUUUCUUUUGGAUCCCAUUCCUCCAGGGGAUUUCAACCUUUCUCCUACCUCCCCCAUUUCAGUCUGAGCUUUUCCUUGCUGUGAUUCUUUGGUGGCAGCACCUGGUCUUCAUCUAUGUGCCGGAUCUGGAGCUCAGCAGUGGUGUCUGUGUGUACUAACACUGAGACACUGCAGAAACUCCAGCGUGUUACUCCAGGUUGAUCCCCCAGGAAGGUGCUAAGCUGUGAGGAUGGGCUCCCUGAACUGCUUUGUUAUUUCCCUGAGGGGCCAGCCAAGAGUCCAGUGAGCACAGCAACUGCAGUGACACAGACUUUCUUUCCACUGGGACCCAAGCCAAGGCUGGCUCCUUAUUUCACUGAGGCUGAGUUGUUGCCAGAGGAUAAUGAAUGGUGGUCAACAGUGAGCUGACCUUCCUCUGAACUCACGAUCCCAAGGUGAACAGCUCCAUUUAUCCAGAGCCCACGAAUGCCAAUCAGCUUUUCUACAUUCACCUUCAACUGGAUCUGUCGAGGAGGGCAAUCUCUGAGUGGUUUUACUGAUCUUGGAUGGAUGCAGCACAUGGAGAAAACAUUUGCCUCCAUCUCUUGCUUCUUCUGAUUAUACGCACAACCCAAGCAGAGCAUGACCUGCUGACAAACACAUCCUGGAGACAGAAUAUGAGAAGUCCACAUCAUCCUACAUUGACAGUUUGCUGUUAUACUGGACUAGGUGUCAUGACCUUGGAAGCAGCUUGUGGGGAAAAAGGGUUUUCUCCAGAAAAUUCCACCUUGAACUGUGCUGUGAGGCUGAGAUAGUGGGGUAAUCCACAACAGCUUUGAUGAAUGAGUAACAGUAUGUUGGGGUUUUUUAGGAGUUCUCCUGUUUUCUUUUUCUCUUAAAGAAUUUUUUCCAUAUAUAUUGCCAGGGCAACAAAUUACUGUGUGCUUAAGAAAAACAAAAGAUGUGGCCACAGAGGGAGGGGUCCAACUGGCUACUCUCUUUCACCUGUGGGUUAGGUACACCCCGGGUGGGCCGGUGUUCUCGGCGUUGGGAUGGAGGGAUGCUGCCGUCGUUGUGGAGGGAUUUCGUCAGCACUGCGGGCUUCUGCUUUUGGCUGCCUUCCUUCUACCGUGAGUGGAGCUUGCUCACUGGAGUGGCUGUUGCACUGGGACCCUAACACCCCACCUCACUAAAAGAGGGACCUGUUCACCAUCUGCUUGGGUGCCUCAAGGAGAAACCCCGGGAUUCCCAAGCCUGCCUUUCCCUGCCCCGCUGGAAUCCAGGCUGUGGCCGCCCUGCCCCUGUCGCUGCUUUGAACCUUUGCUACCUCGUAGCCCCGCACACCCUGCCUGCCCAGACCUCCCGGUGUUCCCGCUGCAGCUCCGGAGUUUGAUACAUCUCGUCUGCCACCCGGGAUUUGUGCUCGUCCCUGCCGUUCCAGCCUGCUGUUCCCGAGGGUCCGGCCGGA